CACGCCCCUCGUGGGAAAUACACGCCCCUCGUGGGAAAUACACGCCCCUCGUGUGAAAUACACGCCUAUACAGAGUAGGGUCGGGGGCGUAGUCGGCCCUGAUUGGUCUGAUUCACGACGGCGUCUCUUCUCUUGUCGAACCUACUCCGGAGAUGUAACGAACUGGUCAACAGCAGACAGCAGAAAGAUGAUUGCCUCGAUUGAUUUGGUAAGUGGACUGCAUUAUCAGUCAGAGAUCGUAUACUGUCAUUGUUCUUGGUGUAGUUCUACUUUAAAUGUUCAUGUACACUCACAGCGUAAUAAUGUGUCGUCAAUCCAACCACAAAUUGGCUGCGUUUUUGGGAUGUCUCUGCUAACUUUUCUUUUAUGUUGAUAUUGCUUAAGCUUAACAGUUGUUGCUUUUCAUGUUACCUAUUUAAUUGUUAAGUACCGCGUUUGAUGCCGUGUUGGUUUUUGUCGCAAUAUACUCUCACUGGUUUGUAUUGAUUUGAUUAUCAUCAUUUCGCCGUGUUACCGAUUUGAAGUUGUCAUCCCAUGGCUAUGUGGUUAGCCCCUGACUUGCCUAGUUUCCCACAACUCAUUUUGGAAGGUGGUCACGUUCCCCUGACUUGCCAAAGUUAAAGUCGUUACUAGGCAAUCACGUUCCCCUGAUUUGCCUAGUUUCCUUUUAUGUUUUGCAUCUUUCUCACUUUGCUGUCUAACCUGACAACUGUACAAUGCUUGUCAUCAAAUUUGUAUUAGGGUUGUUGCGCAACAAUUGAUGCCAGGCACCUGGACCGAGGAGACUGGCUUGGACAUUGAGGUAAUAAUUGCUGAGAUAACAAGCACAUCAGGAAAAUGUGUGUAGGGCUAUGACUGUUCAUCUUACAACCUGUUUUAUGGCACAGGGUGUUCCACAACAACUAUAUGGCAUCGACUGUGGAGUCUUUAUGGUCAUGUACUCCUGGUACAUUACCAUGGACGCGCACUUCGAUUUCAACGUUUUGGAUAUGCCUCAUCUCAGGAGGUGGUGGUGCAAGCUCCUUUUGGACAACUACGGGAUUGAAGGGUAUGGAUCUUAACCUACAAAUGCAAAAUAAAUACAUUUUUCAUGUUGGCUUGGCAACCCUGUGUGUGUGUGUGUGUGUGUGUGUGUGUGUGUGUGUGUGUGUGUGUGUGUGUGUGUGUGUGUGUGUGUGUGUGUGUGUGUGUGUGUGUGUGUGUGUGUGUGUGUGUGUGCGC